rnacentral:sRNA from 1 species
GCCAGGCACGGCGGCACAUGCCUGUAAUCCCAGUGGCUCUGGAGGCUGAGACAGGAAGAUCACGGGUUCAAAGCCAGCCUCAGCAAUGGUGAGGCACUAAACAACUCAGUGAGACCCUGUUUCUA